rnacentral:lncRNA from 1 species
UGCCUAGUGUACCUCCUCCUCCCAUAACUUCACAAUGCUCUGAGCAAAUAAUCUUUUCUUAAAUGCAACCAGACACCAGUAUCUUACACAACAGGGAGUUGUUUGUUGAUCCAUCAAUUCAUGGGGAAAGUACCUCAGUGAGGAAUGCUGCUGCUGCUCCUCUCUUCCUUGAGGCUGCUUUUUCAGAAAUCACAGGAGGAGAACAACUGAUAAAGGUCACAACCUACAAUUCCCAUCUUUGGUUGAAGAAAGUCUCUGGUCUUCAGCCAGUCUCCUACGGUGCUUGGUCUUGAAAAUGCACAGCAAGUUGGAAGUCUUACAUAGUGAUUUCUUGAAACCUUUUCAAUAUGACAUUCUAAUUCCUUAAAGUCAAGGUAAGAGAACACGUCUCUUCAUGACCAAGUCAUGCAAUUCCUAGGUGAUAUUAAAACUGGGUGAAAGCAGAAAUGGAGGCAGAGAAGUGGCUUUUGUUAAGUGUGUGGGUAGAGAGAACUGCCGCAUGCCUGUGUCCAUACCUAAG